GUUCCAACUGUUUAGUUAGCGUUAGCGUUCCAGUAGAAUAAAAAGACAGUGUUAAUUAAAGGCAAAGAAAUGGAGAUUCUAUAAAGCCAGCUCCUGCUUUCGAACGAUUACUUCUAAACGGAUAUCGGUACGCUCACCAGGUGUCAGAUGAGCUGAAGAGACUGUUUAGCGGUUAAGAUAUAGUUUCCACGCCUUUUGAUGUCAAAUAUCUAAACCACUCUCUCCCUUAUUUUAUUUAUUAUUAACAAUUGUACCAAGUCAAAUAUUUUCCUACAGCCACUUAUGAUGAUGCAGCGAUCCAGAAUACAUCCAAUGAUUAUGGAUUCGAUCCCAGUACAACACAAUAAACAAGCUCCGCCUAAUUUGACACGAGACAGCGCAAAAUGAAGCUAUCCAAGGCUAUUUAUGUAAUAUUUAACUUGUGAUAAUAUAAUUACAAAACAGUG
rnacentral:lncRNA from 1 species